rnacentral:misc_RNA from 1 species
AAGGCAGCUGUAUUAUAAAAUAUGGUUGAAUUGUCUUCCUUUUAAAAAUAAAGAUAAAUUAAGAUGAAUUUCAUUAAUUCUUCUCUCUAUUUUUAUUUUGAUGAAAAUUUUUUUUAAGUCAAAGUAAAUUUUUAGUUUAAACUUUAGAAAAAAUAAAUCUUUGUUAAGUAUUUAGUGCUAUAUAGUUUAAUAUUGAAUUAAGCGUUGGUAAUAGUAAAUCAUAAUUUUAAAUUUUGAAGUGAAAGGCUUUUAUAUUGCUAGAUGUGCAUUUAAAUCUAAUAUAACGGCAAUUGGUCAUUUUAAAAUUGAGAUUAUAUUCUAAAUAUUGCUUAACAUUUACCAAAUAUUUUAUUGUUCUGAUUAAUUGGCUUAAAGUAAUACCGAAGUGAUUAUAAUGAUGGAACACAUUGGGACCAGGAUGAGUUGAACAUCCGACCUCAGGUU